rnacentral:lncRNA from 1 species
AAUAAGAACGACUUUUGGAUCAAAAAUCGAAUCUAUUCGCAUUUCACUGUGUAUUUUGGGUAAGAGAACCACGUCAGUAUAUUACAGUUUUUAAAGAUACAAUGAUGUACCAUAUGAAGAAUAUUAUUAAUCAUGACGAAGAUAUAGCAUUACCGAAAUGCAUGUACCAAAUAAAAAAUCCGAUCAAAUUGCCAAAGGACGACGAAAUCAAUAUCAAUAUAAACGUCCAGGUUAUCAAAUUUCUUAAGGAGCCAAAUAAGAAGAUGGCUGAAUUGGAACAGAGACAAGAUGAACUUUUAAAGAAAUUAGAUUUCCUGUAUGAGAGAAUUAAAGCAAUAAGUUCUAACUGUAAAUCAAGUGGCAGUGUUAACAUCACUCUUAAUAAGAAAA